CGAGUAUCAAAAGGCGGCGUGUGAUAGACCCAAAUGUGCCCAGUGUUUAGAGCCGUAGGCUUCCUGCACCUGCAGGCUCAGCAUAUGGCAGAAGUCUGGACCUCCCGUGAUAAGGUCCAGUCAGAGUCCGGGGUCUUCAGACGCCUGACUCACUGCUCAGGAAUUCAUCUGCCGGUACUACCGUGCUGUGUCCUGCAUUAUUUCUAUCCCUGGAUGUUAUGUAUCUUUGGUUUAGGGAAGAGAGAAGACAGAAAACCAUGAGCAGUCGACUCCUCCCCUCUGAAGAUCUAUACUAAUUGAUAACAUGUGUAUAAGGAGGUAACUUGAUACUAAGCUAGUGUACGACCCAAACACAGGCCACCUGCUGCGGUUUUGGAGAGAGCUGAGUCUAUCUCCCACCACAGCGGAGGCCUUUCUGAUUCAGACGGUUCAAAUGAGGACACACUGGCCAGAGUCCAUAAGUCAAUCAAUCAGCUUGCUCACUUCAAAGCUGAAAAGGUUUGGCCAGAGUGGGGAUGUUGCCUUUGCUGCAGCAGAAUGGAGAGUCCACUUCCAAGUGGCAAUACAUUAAUUUUAGAGGGGAAAAAGACUUUUGACAUUAAUCGCUGUUUCUAAA